rnacentral:rRNA from 1 species
GCGGUGGAGCAUGUGGUUUAAUUCGAAGCAACGCGAAGAACCUUACCAGGUCUUGACAUCCUCUGACAACCCUAGAGAUAGGGCUUUCCCUUCGGGGACAGAGUGACAGGUGGUGCAUGGUUGUCGUCAGCUCGUGUCGUGAGAUGUUGGGUUAAGUCCCGCAACGAGCGCAACCCUUGAUCUUAGUUGCCAGCAUUCAGUUGGGCACUCUAAGGUGACUGCCGGUGACAAACCGGAGGAAGGUGGGGAUGACGUCAAAUCAUCAUGCCCCUUAUGACCUGGGCUACACACGUGCUACAAUGGACAGAACAAAGGGCUGCGAGACCGCAAGGUUUAGCCAAUCCCACAAAUCUGUUCUCAGUUCGGAUCGCAGUCUGCAACUCGACUGCGUGAAGCUGGAAUCGCUAGUAAUCGCGGAUCAGCAUGCCGCGGUGAAUACGUUCCCGGGCCUUGUACACACCGCCCGUCACACCACGAGAGUUUGCAACACCCGAAGUCGGUGAGGUAACCUUUA